GAUGAACGCUGGCGGCGUGCCUAAUACAUGCAAGUCGAGCGAACGGACGAGAAGCUUGCUUCUCUGAUGUUAGCGGCGAACGGGUGAGUAACACGUGAGUAACCUGCCCUUGACUUUGGGAUAACUUCAGGAAACUGGGGCUAAUACCGGAUAGGAGCUCCUGCUGCAUGGUGGGGGUUGGAAAGUUUCGGCGGUUGGGGAUGGACUCGCGGCUUAUCAGCUUGUUGGUGGGGUAGUGGCUUACCAAGGCUUUGACGGGUAGCCGGCCUGAGAGGGUGACCGGCCACAUUGGGACUGAGAUACGGCCCAGACUCCUACGGGAGGCAGCAGUGGGGAAUAUUGCACAAUGGGCGGAAGCCUGAUGCAGCAACGCCGCGUGCGGGAUGACGGCCUUCGGGUUGUAAACCGCUUUCGCCUGUGACGAAGCGUGAGUGACGGUAAUGGGUAAAGAAGCACCGGCUAACUACGUG
rnacentral:rRNA from 1 species